rnacentral:rRNA from 1 species
UACAGAGGUCUCGAGCGUUGUUCGGAUUUAUUGGGCGUAAAGGGUGCGUAGGCGGCGAGCUAAGUUUGGUGUGAAAUCCUGGGGCUUAACCUCAGAAAUGCACUGAAUACUGGUUUGCUAGAGGACUGGAGAGGAGAUUGGAAUUCACGGUGUAGCAGUGAAAUGCGUAGAUAUCGUGAGGAAGACCAGUGGCGAAAGCGAAUCUCUGGACAGUUCCUGACGCUGAUGCACGAAGGCUGGGGGAGCAAACGGG